rnacentral:rRNA from 1 species
GUAGGUGGCAAGCGUUGUCCGGAAUUAUUGGGCGUAAAGCGCGCGCAGGCGGUUUUUUAAGUCUGAUGUGAAAGCCCACGGCUCAACCGUGGAGGGUCAUUGGAAACUGGAGAACUUGAGUACAGAAGAGGAAAGCGGAAUUCCACGUGUAGCGGUGAAAUGCGUAGAGAUGUGGAGGAACACCAGUGGCGAAGGCGGCUUUCUGGUCUGUAACUGACGCUGAGGCGCGAAAGCGUGGGGAGCAAACAGGGAUUAGAUACCCUGGUAGUCCACGCGUAAACGAUGAGUGCUAAGUGUUAGGGGGGUUUCCGCCCCCUUAGUGCUGCAGCUAACGCAUUAAGCACUCCGCCUGGGGAUACGGCCGCAAGGCUG